AGCGAACGCUGGCGGCAGGCCUAACACAUGCAAGUCGAACGGCAGCACAGUAAGAGCUUGCUCUUACGGGUGGCGAGUGGCGGACGGGUGAGGAAUACAUCGGAAUCUACAUUCUCGUGGGGGAUAACGUAGGGAAACUUACGCUAAUACCGCAUACGACCUACGGGUGAAAGCAGUGGAUCUUCGGACCUUGCGCGAUUGAAUGAGCCGAUGUCGGAUUAGCUAGUUGGCGGGGUAAAGGCCCACCAAGGCGACGAUCCGUAGCUGGUCUGAGAGGAUGAUCAGCCACACUGGAACUGGGACACGGUCCAGACUCCUACGGGAGGCAGCAGUGGGGAAUAUUGGACAAUGGGCGCAAGCCUGAUCCAGCCAUACCGCGUGGGUGAAGAAGGCCUUCGGGUUGUAAAGCCCUUUUGUUGGGAAAGAAAAGCAGCAGGUUAAUACCCCGCUGUUCUGACGGUACCCGAAGAAUAAGCACCGGCUAACUUCGUG
rnacentral:rRNA from 1 species